rnacentral:rRNA from 1 species
CAGUAGCCACGGUAAUACGUAGGGUGCGAGCGUUAAUCGGAAUUACUGGGCGUAAAGCGUGCGCAGGCGGUUAUAUAAGUCAGAUGUGAAAUCCCCGGGCUCAACCUGGGAACUGCAUUUGAGACUGUAUGGCUAGAGUGUGUCAGAGGGGGGUAGAAUUCCACGUGUAGCAGUGAAAUGCGUAGAUAUGUGGAGGAAUACCGAUGGCGAAGGCAGCCCCCUGGGAUAACACUGACGCUCAUGCACGAAAGCGUGGGGAGCAAACAGGAUUAGAUACCCGUGUAGUCCCUGUCUCUUAUAC